AUAUUGUUAGUAUAAGCUAUUAUGUUACUUUUCCAAAGUAAAGAUCUAAAGUGAGUGUUUAGACAAUGUA
rnacentral:tRNA from 1 species